rnacentral:rRNA from 1 species
GACGAACGCUGGCGGCGUGCUUAACACAUGCAAGUCGAACGGAAAGGCCCUGCUUUUGUGGGGUGCUCGAGUGGCGAACGGGUGAGUAACACGUGAGUAACCUGCCCUUGACUUUGGGAUAACUUCAGGAAACUGGGGCUAAUACCGGAUAGGAGCUCCUGCUGCAUGGUGGGGGUUGGAAAGUUUCGGCGGUUGGGGAUGGACUCGCGGCUUAUCAGCUUGUUGGUGGGGUAGUGGCUUACCAAGGCUUUGACGGGUAGCCGGCCUGAGAGGGUGACCGGCCACAUUGGGAUGGAGAUACGGCCCAGACUCCUACGGGAGGCAGCAGUGGGGAAUAGUGCACAAUGGGCGGAAGCCUGAUGCAGCAACGCCGCGUGCGGGAUGACGGCCUUCGGGUUGUAAACCGCUUUCGCCUGUGACGAAGCGUGAGUGACGGUAAUGGGUAAAGAAGCACCGGCUAACUACGUG